rnacentral:rRNA from 1 species
GACGAACGCUGGCGGCGUGCUUAACACAUGCAAGUCGAACGCUGAAGCUCAGCUUUUGUUGGGUGGAUGAGUGGCGAACGGGUGAGUAACACGUGAGUAACCUGCCCCCUUCUUUGGGAUAACGCCCGGAAACGGGUGCUAAUACUGGAUAUUCACUGGUCUUCGCAUGGGGGUUGGUGGAAAGGGUUUUUCUGGUGGGGGAUGGGCUCGCGGCCGAUCUGCUUGUUGGUGGGGUGAUGGACUACCAAGGCUUUGACGGGUAGCCGGCCUGAGAGGGUGACCGGGCACAUGAGGAGUGAGAUUCGGCCUAGACUACGACGGGGAGCAGAACGGGGGAAAGUUGCGCAAUGUGCUGAAGCCUGAUGCAGCGACGGCGCGAGAGGGAUGGAGGCCUGGGUGUUGGGAACCGCGUUCGCACAUGGUCAAGCCGGUACAGUGGUGGUGGUGAGGGUAGUGGGUAAAGAAGCGCCGGCUAACUACGUG